rnacentral:rRNA from 2 species
GUCAGGAUGAACGCUAGCUACAGGCUUAACACAUGCAAGUCGAGGGGCAGCAUGGUCUUAGCUUGCUAAGGCCGAUGGCGACCGGCGCACGGGUGAGUAACACGUAUCCAACCUGCCGUCUACUCUUGGACAGCCUUCUGAAAGGAAGAUUAAUACAAGAUGGCAUCAUGAGUCCGCAUGUUCACAUGAUUAAAGGUAUUCCGGUAGACGAUGGGGAUGCGUUCCAUUAGAUAGUAGGCGGGGUAACGGCCCACCUAGUCUUCGAUGGAUAGGGGUUCUGAGAGGAAGGUCCCCCACAUUGGAACUGAGACACGGUCCAAACUCCUACGGGAGGCAGCAGUGAGGAAUAUUGGUCAAUGGGCGAGAGCCUGAACCAGCCAAGUAGCGUGAAGGAUGACUGCCCUAUGGGUUGUAAACUUCUUUUAUAAAGGAAUAAAGUCGGGUAUGGAUACCCGUUUGCAUGUACUUUAUGAAUAAGGAUCGGCUAACUCCGUGCCAGCAGCCGCGGUAAUACGGAGGAUCCGAGCGUUAUCCGGAUUUAUUGGGUUUAAAGGGAGCGUAGAUGGAUGUUUAAGUCAGUUGUGAAAGUUUGCGGCUCAACCGUAAAAUUGCAGUUGAUACUGGAUAUCUUGAGUGCAGUUGAGGCAGGCGGAAUUCGUGGUGUAGCGGUGAAAUGCUUAGAUAUCACGAAGAACUCCGAUUGCGAAGGCAGCCUGCUAAGCUGCAACUGACAUUGAGGCUCGAAAGUGUGGUAUCAACAGGA